AUAUGCUGAAUGACCAUAGCCUCCUGCUGUGCUAGGUGACUGUGAUUGACCAUAAACAGGUGGAUUUGCACUUGGCUUCUGAGAGGGAGGAGCACCAUAACUAGGUCCAUAACCAGACUGUGGUUGACUUCCAUAGGCCGCUUGGGUGGUAGGGGCUACCGCAUAACCUGGUUGAGGAGUUUCUGGUUGGUUGGUAGCAUAACCUUGCUGAGCAACAGUAGUGGGUUGGGAAGUUUGGGAGGUAUCCGCUUGUGAUCCAUAGUUGGAAGUGUGCCCCUCUUGGGUUGGAUUACUCCCACUUCCAUAACUUGGAGCAGAGCCAUAACCUUGUUGCUGAUCAUAAGUUUGUGGCUGACCAUACCCAGAUUGUUGUUGUGCAUUAUACGCACCAUAGCUUUCCUGACCAUAACCCUGUCCUGGUUGGCUAUAACCAGAGGAAGGAGGUUGACUGUAACUGUAUCCAGACCCAUCAGCUGGCUGUGGAGGACCCCCAGGAUUUUGCUGUUGCUGGGGUUGUUGGUUGUAAUAAU
rnacentral:lncRNA from 1 species